rnacentral:rRNA from 1 species
GACGAACGCUGGCGGUGUGCUUAACACAUGCAAGUCGAACGGUAAGGCCCUUCCGUGGUGGGGCGCUUGAGGGACGGACGGGUAAGUAACGCGUAAGCUACCUGCCUCUGACUUUUAAAUAACGUCAGCAAUCUGUAGUGAAGACCGUGUACGUGCUCGUGCUGCAUGGGGUUGGUAGGAUAUUUUUGGCGGUUGGGGAUGGACGCGCGGCUUAUCAGCUUGUUGGUGGGGGUGUGGCUUACCAAGGCUUUGGCGGGUAGCCGGCCUGAGAGGGUGACCGGCCACAUUGGGACUGAGAUACGGCCCAGACUCCUACGGGAGGCAGCAGUGGGGAAUAUUGCACAAUGGGCGGAAGCCUGAUGCAGCAACGCCGCGUGCGGGAUGACGGCCUUCGGGUUGUAAACCGCUUUCGCCUGUGACGAAGCGUGAGUGACGGUAAUGGGUAAAGAAGCACCGGCUAACUACGUG